rnacentral:rRNA from 1 species
CCUACGGGGGGCGGCAGUGGGGAAUAUUGGACAAUGGGCGAAAGCCUGAUCCAGCCAUGCCGCGUGUGUGAAGAAGGCCUUCGGGUUGUAAAGCACUUUCAGUGGGGAAGAAAGCCUUGGGGCUAAUACCCUCGAGGAAGGACAUCACCCACAGAAGAAGCACCGGCUAACUCCGUGCCAGCAGCCGCGGUAAUACGGAGGGUGCGAGCGUUAAUCGGAAUUACUGGGCGUAAAGCGCGCGUAGGCGGUCUGAUAAGCCGGUUGUGAAAGCCCCGGGCUCAACCUGGGAACGGCAUCCGGAACUGUCAGGCUAGAGUGCAGGAGAGGAAAGUAGAAUUCCCGGUGUAGCGGUGAAAUGCGUAGAGAUCGGGAGGAAUACCAGUGGCGAAGGCGGCCUUCUGGACUGACACUGACGCUGAGGUGCGAAAGCGUGGGUAGCAAACAGGAUUAGAUACCCGGGUAGUC